CUCUCUGUGGAAAACAACAGGCGGGCGGGUGAGCGGGCUGCUCCGCAGCGGGGCGUGGGCACGGCCUGGGCAGAGCCGGGGGCUCUUGGCAACCUCUUGUCUCCCGCGCCUCCCUCCACCUGCCCUCGUCUCUCUCCCUCGGCCUCGACCUACUGUCCUUUGUGACCCUUCCUGGGUCGGCGACCCUGCAGCGGUCCCGGAGCCAGCAUCCCCAUCCUCCAGACAGGGCUUGUCCACGCGUAUCUGGAGAGCCCUGCAGGCAGCCCCCUCCAGGCCCCUGCAAUCCCUUUCUGAUGUUUCGCAGGCCCAGAAGAAGGCCCCUCCGCCGACCCCGCCGCCGUUGCCGUAGCCGAAGGCACCGCGGGCGCCGCCAGCCCCGGAGCCCCCGCAGCAGCAGCAGACGAGCCCCCAGAUGCCUACGGCCAGGCAGCCCAGCGCGAGCAGAGAGCCCAGGACGAUGCCGAUGAUCACGCCUAUACGCCGGGAGUCUGUGGAGAGAAGUGGAGGCAGCUCCAGGCCAAGAGAACAACAGCUCAUUCCUGAGAUAAGGAUCCUGCUGCCAUCUGCCAGAUCCUGAGGCUGCUCAAGGCAAGCCAGGGAUGAGCCAGAACUCGGCUGAGAGCAGAGGCUCCACCCUGGAGAAGCACCGCUGGAAGCACCCACACAGGAAGGACUCUCUCCAUGCCAUAGGAGCCUGCCAGGCAGGAUGCACUAAGGAAGUACUACAGGGAAUGUGAGAGGAGAGGCUGGAGAGAGGGAAGAAAGGCAAAGUGGAAGAGAGAGCUGGAUGGGAGACUUGAGGAGAGACAGGAAUGGAGGAAUCACAUGGGCUCUCCAAGGAAGAGGACAGUGGUGAUUCUUUGCCCCCCAAAAGCACCAGAAACUGGCCAUGCUUUACGGGGUGUCAUCUCAAUAGUGGUGCCUACUCUCUGCUUGCAAAUUCUUUCUGAAUCUUCAAGGUGCUUCCAGAACUCCUGAUCUUCCCUCUGGAGGUAAGGGAGGGGAGAAAAGGCGGCUCCAGCUGAGGGUAUUGAUGCGUUAAUGCAGCCAGUGCUGAGUUGUCCUCACACACCCAUUGACACACCACACAGGGGGAAGUCCGGGUCCCCACAGCACAGCUGGAGCCUCCCGAGUGGACUCUGCCAGCCCUGCUCUCAUCAGACAGAGAAGGGCUGCAGCUAUCCUGCCGGAAAUGUCAUCAUUCCCAUGCAGGUGCACGCACCCACACACUCACAUACACAUUCACGCUCACACAAAGGCUGAAAAUGUCACCCCGCCUUCCCAAAUUCCUCCUUCAUGCCCCUUCAUCCCAAAUCCAGACUGCAAGAGGGACUCGGAGCCCUUUCCAGUGAUGUUGGCAUAGAAUGCCCCUUGGUGGAACUUGCCCCAACCUGGGCAGGAAGCCACAAUGUCCAAACUUGAGCCCUGCCCUGUGGACCUGUCCUGGUGGGGUGAGAAGUCUCUGGAGUUGCCAUCCCCACCACCCUCAGGCCUCAUCCUAGAGUGGGGCACUGCCCUGUCAUAGCACAGGGGGCCCAAGGCUGAGGUCUCAGGCCUGAGCUGUCACUGGCCAUGAUGGAAGAAACCACUCAGACUUACACCAGACUUAGUCUCUUGCCCUUUCAAGGCAAGUGACUUCCCUGCCCCUUGGCCCUGGCCUUGGGAGAGAAGGAGUAGCGUUGGGAAUAGCACACAGUCUGAUGAAAAUUGAUCCUUCCCAAGCUCCUCCUGAGCCCUCACCCAAUGCCCGUGCUUACCCCUCUCCUACCCCACCUCCAGCUCCUGCAGAGCAAUCAAUCCCUCUCCUCCUAGUCACGGCAUGAGCUUGCAGGGCACCUGCACACAUGUGUGAGCCCGACAGGGGACAUAUAAAGAUCCACUCAAAGACCUCUGCACUACAGACACACACCCUGAACAUCAGGCACAGGGUCUCCUGGGGAAAGGUCCCCUGGUAAUACCCACACCCGGCUGCAGCAGGGCAAGGGUGGGCAGCACCCUGCCAGGCAACUCAGGCAGCCCCAGGCUCCACUGUGAGCCCUUGCUGCCCCUUUCCUUCCCACCUAGCCUCAUGCUGGCUACCCUGCCCCCUGCCCAGCCCCGUACCUGGGCUCAGGCACACGAGUAGAAGGUGGAAUGCUCCUCCAACUCUCAUGUCUCUAGGCUCGGUGUUUCCUCCGUCUGGGCUGGGUAUCCCGUGGGGUCGUAGUGGUGGGUGUGAGGGGGUAGGUGGAGGGAGGGGGAGCUGAGGGCCCAGACACUGCCUGGGGUGGCAGGAAGGUGCAAUGAGUGCCCAGCUGGGGAGCAGCUGGAGUUAUUUCUAUGGGAGGGAGGGGGCCUGGUCCCCGCCUUGGGGAGGAGUCCCAGGAACCCUAAUUAGCAGGGUGACAGGGUGGCCUACCUGGGCAUUACCCAGCCCUCACCCAAGCUCUUCCCUGUCCUAAGAGUGGCACAGGACAGCCAGCGGGACUUGUAAUUAGGCACCUGUUAAACUUCACUUCCUCCUGGCCACAUCCUCAGGGUGACAACAGUCACCUCAUUUACAGCUUCCAAGGGCUCCCCUCACCACUCAUUUGCUGCCUCCUUCCCUGGGGGAAGUGGGGAAGAGGAAGGAGAAGCCAGGCUUGGGAGAAAGAGUGGCCAGGACCUGAAGAGUUAAUCCUGAUCCCAGGGCAUAGGGUUCCCCAGGAGUGUCCAGCCCACCUUCCCCCAGGCUUCAGGCCUUUCAAAGGGACUCAGGCCUCCUGAGCUGAAAGAGGAGAGAAGGGGUGUGUGCAGGAACAGAGUCUCCUCCUGGCUGUCCCCUCUGGAACUGUCCUCCACACCCAUACUCGACUCAAGGCCAUCCCCAAGUGUAGGGGACCCCUGGGAGCAGGGGUGCUAUGGGGGGUCCAGGGUGUGUGCUAGGAGUAAGGUGACUGAUGGGCUAGUGAGGGAGUGUUGGAGAGAACAGCGCCAAGAGGACCAGGGAAGGGGGUGCCUGUGUAAGCGUGUGCACCCCUCAGCAAUGUCUGUGGGAGGGAGGCAGGAUGUCUGUGUCAGGGUGUCUCUGUGAGGAUGGCUAAGCCCCUCUGAGUGAACUUCUUGAGGGAUCGCUUGGUGUCCUGGCUUCUCUGCCCAGAAAGAGUAGCCAGGUCUUGAGGGUUAAUGCAGUCCCAGUAUUAACUGGGUCCUUGAGACCAAGGACCCUCAUAACCUGGACUGGUCAUCGGGCUGACUAAACCAGCACAGUUCUGGGUAAGUUCGUGCUGGGGUGGGGAGGGUCCUGGUAGGCAUGGGGAGCAAGUGAAGGGCCACCCCUUGUUGGCUUGUCUAAGGGGGACAGAAUGGGCAUGUGCCUUGUUGGACUCCAUGGUGGGAGUCAGGACAUGAGUGACCCCAUUCAAUAGCUCAACUCCCUCAAAGGAGUCAGGGACUGCCCCCAUCCCUACCAUGGGGCACAGAAAGGGCAGAGGAGGAAGAGUGUUAGGGAGAGUUAUGGGGCUCAGGGAUGCUGCCAGGGCCCACCCCUCUGGGGAAAAAUAAGUCAGAACAUUAAGGAAACACAAGGAGUCCACGCGUCUCUGCAUUCCAAGCCGUUGCACCUGAACUCCCAACAAUAACAGGGCGCUCUGAGACCUACCAGAUGUACACAAUGAAUAUCUUUAUUUCCUUAUUUAUUUUUAGGUUUAUGGGAUUGUCCUGCUCCCUUUGAAGAGCAGGGAUCAUUAUCCCCAUUUUACAGAUGGGGAAACAGAGACCUGGAGAAACAUGGGGAUUCAGCCAAUGCGGCUGGUGCCUAAGCUGGGAUACCCAGGUACCCAGGGUGUCAGUCCAGAGAGGUCCAAAAAAUGGUCUUGGUGAUCCUGUGGAUUACUAGACCCACUCACGAACAAGAACCAUGGAAGGUCAGGGUGAGUGGGAGGGAAAACAGGUCAGACCACGAACAGAGAGAUUGAGGAGAAAGCAGUAACAUUGUGGUUCCACUAAACUACAGUGCAGGCUUCAGAUUUAAUUGGGUUCUGGAUGUGGGCUAAUGUUAGAGCUGGGGUUAAGUUUGGGGUUAGUUGAAUUAUGAAUGAGGUUGAGGUCAGAUUUGAGGUUGGGAUUAGAGUUAAGGUUGGGAUUAGGGUUAGAAAUACAGCUAGAAUUGAGGCUCAGGUUUAUGGCUGGGAUUUGUGUUACGAUAAGGAAUAGAGUUUUAGUUUCAUUUACAGCUCUGCCUGGGAAUACAGUUAGGGCUAAAUCAAAGGCUGGGUUUAGAUUGAUUUAGCAUUGGGUUAGAACUAAGUUUGAGAUUCACAUUGAAAUAGGCUGUGGUUAGGGUUGGAACAUGGUUUAAAGACACGUAAGCAGCGGGAGUUGAUGGGGAUCAAAGAUGAGGUUUUAUUUCUAAUAUAGAAAGACUUCAGCCUCCAUCUGCUAAAUCCAGGUUUGGCUAGAAUUUUCAAUCCUUAGUGCGGGGAGACUACUAAUGGCACAUGUUGAUUGGGGUCCCAAGACUUGGAGGAGGAAGCCAAAUGUACACGAGCCCAUCUAAGGGGUAUGAGGCAACUAAAUCCCAUAGAGAAUGGACCCUCUGAAGUCCUGCUCCACUACUAAAGCUCACCACCUGGCCAAGCUCCAGAAAAACAUCUGGGGAGGAGACGCAGGAAGCUACUGACAAUGAGUUGGGCUCUGACACCAAACCGAACUAGAAGAUGGGGUCCAUCAGAGGGAGUCUUACUGAGUGGGGAGGAGGGGUGGUCUGGAUUUGGAGUCCUUAGGAGAUGGGAGUUGGGAGAAACUGAGGGCCUACAUGCUCCUAGAACAGCCACUUUAUGGGGCACCACAUGGGGGUCUUUCAAAGCCUGAAAGGGCAGAGUGCCAUUGUUGUUUCCCCUUGACCCUCUGAGGCUUAAUUGCUACCUUCUUGCAAUUUGAGUCCUAUAAAAGAAGCUGUCAGCCUUCCAGCCCUAAACCCUGAGCCCUGCAGGGUUUUCAGGGAGGGCAGCAGUGGGGAGGCUGUGGAUGGGGUGAAGGCACUGGGGUGUCAGCAUAGUUUCCAAAGCAUAUGUCACAGUCCUACAGUCCCCUCCCUCUGGGCCCAGCUCACAGUCCGUGUAAGUCUCUGGGCCUUAUCCUCAGCAGUGGAAGAGGGCCCCACUCCUAGGAAGACCCCGUCCCAAUUCCUCCCUCUCAUUUUUCCCCAACCAGUCUCCAGCCCAAACAUCUCAUUUCCCCACCCACUUCCUUUUCAGGUUUUAUAAAGGUCUGGUCCAGGAGACUACUGGGGUUCCCCCUGUGACCCCAGAGAGAGAGAAGAAAGAGAUUGGGAGAGAUAGUGAUGAGUUAAGGGGCAAAGACAGAGACAGGGACAGAGGCAGACAGAAAGACACAUGGUCUAAAUGGCCCCUCCAGAGACUCAGAGGGAUACAGAGGAGGCAGAGGGCCCAGGCCACGAGCUGGGAACCAAUACAAAUUUCCAAAAGGGCCCCUUGCUUUUUCCUAAGAAAUCCAUGACUCUCCAGGGAAGAAUGGCCCUGCUUUGACUGGUAUUUGCUUCUAUUCUAAGACAGUAACAGAAAAUCAAAGACUGGCUUAGAAAGGAGUAAACAGGGAGAUACAGGAGGUAGGAAGAGGCUGGACAAAAACUCAGAGAAGGCCACAGAUUGCUUACCAGAUGAAGUGCAGCCCAGCCCCAGAACCUUUCUGGGAAGGACGGACAGAGGGCUUGGGCUGCCUACUCUUCCUCCAAAGCCUAUUCUUCCUCCAAAGUCCCUUUCAUGGCAACUCCACCCCACUCCUCUAAGCCCUGCCCUCCCCUGCCUGUACUUGCCCACCCCAACCCCUCUCAGUGGCCGCCAGACUCCCUGGGCUCAGGCUCAAUCAAGCUCCCCACAACCCCUGCCUUGGCUGGCACUGCAAUUUGACUCAUUCUAAACUCCUCCCCACACAGUCAGCAAGCUCCUCAGCCCCCUCUCCCAAGUCCCCAUGUAGCCCAGGGCUCACCCUGCAGCACCCAGGGAGGAGCUGUCCUGCAGAGGAAACCUCUGAGGUAAGACUCUGGGAGCAGAAGCUGUGAGUGACAAUGGAUAGGCAAAGAGUCACAGAGAAGCCAAGGAGCCUUGCAGCUGCUGUCUGUCCACCCAGCUUUCAGUGAUGAUUUGGAGGUGGAGGUCUGCCAGGUGAGGCCAUGGUUGCAUGAGAAGGGCAGGGGGCUCAGAGGUUGCAUGGGUGGUGAUGGGACAACGUCGGAUUCUGGUUACAGAGAGGGAUGAGAUCGACAUGUGGGGCUAAGUUUGAGGGUGUGGGUUGGGUUCGAAACUAAGGCUCAAAUCAAAGCUGGCAGGGAAGAGCCGUGAACACAGGUGACACAGGGACUCCCCAAGCUCCUGCUUAGGUUUCCCAAACCUCAGUGGUUCUGACUGGUACACUUCAGAAGAAGUGGGAUUCUAGGAGGAGCCUGGAUAUGCCCACAUCUCUCCCAUCAAGCAAUGUCCUGAAGCUGACAGACUCAGAAGAGCAAGCAGCACACACAUAGUCCCCAUCAAUUAAAGGAGUGGCUGGAGUUGUCACUACAUCAACAAAGCACAAGAGCAAAGGGAGGCGAUUGAAUGCCACCAACUGAAUUGUUAGCAAGAGAAUGAGUGGAGGCGAGAAGAAAUCGCUUGUAAAGGCUAUGUGAUUCCCUGAUGACAGAUCUGAGGAAGAAUGAAGAGGCUUUGAAGAUAAAGGUAUCUUCACCUCGCCAAGAUCAACCACAUCCUGCAGAACCUUCAUUCAUUCAGCAAACAGCCAGGCUUUGUGCUAGGCCCUGGGGAAAUGGCAAUUAAGGAGACUCAGUCCCUAUCCUCACAGAACACCCCAUCUGACACGGAAAUAGCUCCUGGCCCGCAAUGUGGUAAGAUGCAGUAAUACGUGCAAGGCCCCUGACUUAGUGGCAAUGAUGUUUAAGCCGAGAUCUGAAGGAUAACUAACAACGGCGUGCCAGAGAAAAGAGUAGCGGGUGGAGAGAGGAGGCCAGGGGAAUAUUUCUGGGCUUGGUAAGUAAGCCAGGUCCCUGCCAGACAUGGACUGAGAAGAGCAAAGCCAGGAGUGACAGCUGACGAUUAUUUUUUAACUGAGGAAGGAAGAUCCUUGAGAACGGAACCUCUUGGGACCUUCUACCCAGAACACCAGAGCACCUCACUGGGAUCAGAGCCAGGCCAUCGGGUGGAUUAAGCAACUAAAAUUGAUUGUCCUGAACCAUGAGUCUGUCUGUUUAUGGGGAGAGAAACUUUGAGAUGAAUUAAUCCACAGGUCCAAUGGGACUUUGACAUUUUAAUUUGUAGAAAUAAAACUUGCCUUUGAUUUUGCCAUCUGGAUUCCCCAAACACGUAUCUACAGAGUGGAACUGUGGUGCCCCUUGACCUGCAGGGUGGCCCCAGGCCUGCCUUGCCCCGCUGGCAGUUGCCCAGGAAGGUGUGUAGGAG
rnacentral:lncRNA from 10 species